rnacentral:lncRNA from 1 species
CUACACUGUUCGCUCUGCCUUCUUUGUGGAAAUCUCACAUAAAGGCUCUGGCCUUUGCCUUCUCCUUGCUCCUGUCAUCUGCCUCUUGACCAUCCUCACAUUUCCUUUGUGGCCCUGUUCCCUUCUCUCAGGUGUGGCAUGAUCCCUUCUCUCAGGAAAUUCCAGAGGCAGUUGGUGUAUCUAUUAAAGGAUGACUUAAAGACAAACAUGACUUGGAUGUUAGGUAGCACACUGCUCCAGAGAGUAGUUCAACUCUUAUCCCUACUGGAAUCACUUGUUUACAGUACAGAGUAGCGAUCACUCACCCCACCCUCUAGAGUAAAGGUGGCAUGCAAUAGUGAAGCUGUGAAGACUGGUGGAACCACAAAUAGAAGGGUCCUAAGUCCCAGAAUUACCAUGGAAGAAAGUCUCCUGCAAAUUGGCAAACAAUAAAGAUUCCUCUGGAAGGGGUACUCUCUCCAUAUCAGGGUCAGAAAAUAGCCCGUAUCACCAGAGACUUGGAAUUGAAGGCUACAGUGGACCUAAAUAAACAUAAUUAAUGAAGUAAUCCUCAUCCUUCACCUGUUUUACACUUUCCCAUGUAUUUCUUAGUAACUCCCCUGGAAAAUUUUUACCACUGUAGCCAGAUUUUCUUUGUCCUAUCAUUUCUUCUCAAAUCUAUCACUCUAUGUCUAAAAAGUAUCAAGGCAUCUUGCUUUGGCCACUUCUUUUGACUUCCCUCUCUUGUGAAGAACCCCAUGUGCAUGUAAAACUAAUAAAAUUUGUAUGCUUUUCUCUUAUCAA